AGCCCACCCAGCCCAGCUGGCCGCCGCCGCCGUUCGCGAUUCCUUUGGUCUGUCGGUCAGUCCGUCCGUCCGUCCGUCCUUCAGCCCAUCCCUCCUGAGCUGCUGCUCUCCGGGGUGGUCGCCCUUCGCGGACGGCCUCCCCGACUAGGCUGCCGCCUUCCGUUCCUCCUCCGCUCUCCUCCCUCCCUCCAUCCUUCUCUCUCUCCCUCCAUCCCUCCCUCCCUCUCUCCUUCCCCUCCCUCCUCGGAGCCGCCCUCCUGCACGAGCUUCUCGCGUCCCCCGGCAGAGGCGCCCGGCGGCAGAGCAGAGGCAGAGGCAGAGAGGCAGAGGCAGAGGCAGAGGCGCGCAGCUCUGGCUGGCUCGCUCCUUCCUCUCUCCCUAACUGGCUCACCGGCUCAUUGAGACGCACAGUGAAGCUCGACCCGGGUCCUUGCCAAGGUCUCUAUCUUACUCCAGCGGGGCUCUCCUCAGCCCCCCAGAGAGUGGGCAUGAGCUGGAGCCCCGGAGGCACCGGGAGCCGCCCAGGCAACUUUGCGCACCCCCUUCCACUCCACUCCAGGUUCAGUUCCUAGCGCCCCGGGAAGAUGGCAGCGGGGGAAGGGAGGAGAAGUUAGGGUGACCCUCCCCCCAGUUCCCUGCGGAAGAAGAUCGGAGGCAGCUGCCGCUGGGAAAGGUAUCAUCUUCUCUGCCCAUUUGCCAUAACAAAGACAUCACCAACUGAGCGAGGGCCACAGGAUCCUGACUCGAUUGGGUCACAGCAUCUUCUGAUUGUCCACUAUGAGCUCCCCAGCACAGCCAGGCAGGGCCAGGAGUUUAACCCCUCUGCCUUGGCGGACAGAGAAAUGAUGUUGAAG